AUUGAACGCUGGCGGCAGGCUUAACACAUGCAAGUCGAGCGGAGAUGAGGUGCUUGCACCUUAUCUUAGCGGCGGACGGGUGAGUAAUGCUUAGGAAUCUGCCUAUUAGUGGGGGACAACAUUCCGAAAGGAAUGCUAAUACCGCAUACGUCCUACGGGAGAAAGCAGGGGAUCUUCGGACCUUGCGCUAAUAGAUGAGCCUAAGUCGGAUUAGCUAGUUGGUGGGGUAAAGGCCCACCAAGGCGACGAUCUGUAGCGGGUCUGAGAGGAUGAUCCGCCAAACAGGGACGGAGACACGGCCCAGACUCCUACGGGAGGCAGCAGUGGGGAAUAUUGGACAAUGGGCGCAAGCCUGAUCCAGCCAUGCCGCGUGUGUGAAGAAGGCCUUCGGGUUGUAAAGCACUUUCAGUAGGGAGGAAGGGUUAAGUGUUAAUAGUACUUAACUUUGACGUUACCUACAGAAGAAGCACCGGCUAACUCUGUGCCAGCAGCCGCAGUAAAAC
rnacentral:rRNA from 1 species